UUGUGAUGAAAUUGAAACUGAAACAGCUGGAAUUACCGUCAGAUGUUCAGUGGUGAUGCUCGGUUUUCUGAAC